rnacentral:rRNA from 1 species
AGCAGCCGCGGUAAUUCCAGCUCCAAUAGCGUAUAUUAAAGUUGUUGCAGUUAAAAAGCUCGUAGUUGAAUUUCGGGAUCAUCAGGUUGGUCGUGCCUCCGGUAUGUACUUGCUUCGGUGGUCCCUCCUUCUUGAAGAACCGUAAUGCCAUUAAUUUGGUGUUGCGGGGAAACAGGACUGUUACUUUGAAAAAAUUAGAGUGUUUAAAGCAGGCAAUCGCUUGAAUACAUUAGCAUGGAAUAAUGAAAUAGGACGUUCGAUCCUAUUUUGUUGGUUUCUAGGAUUGACGUAAUGAUUAAUAGGGAUAGUUGGGGGCAUUAGUAUUCAAUUGUCAGAGGUGAAAUUCUUGGAUUUAUUGAAGACUAACUACUGCGAAAGCAUUUGCCAAGGAUGUUUUCAUUAAUCAAGAACGAAAGUUAGGGGAUCGAAGACGAUCAGAUACCGUCGUAGUCUUAACCAUAAACUAUGCCGACUAGGGAUCGGAUGAUGUUAAUUU